UGCAAGUCGACGAUGAAGCCCUUCGGGGUGGAUUAGUGGCGAACGGGUGAGGAMCACGUGAAGAAUCUGCCCUCCACUUUGGGAUAACUCCGGGAAACCGGGGCUAAUACCGAAUAUUGAAACAUAAGUGGCAUCACUGAGUUUUGAAAGAAUUUCGGUGGAGGAUGACUUCGCGGCCUAUCAGCUUGUUGGUGAGGUAAUGGCUCACCAAGGCGACGACGGGUAGCCGGCCUGAGAGGGCGACCGGCCACACUGGGACUGAGACACGGCCCAGACUCCUACGGGAGGCAGCAGUGGGGAAUAUUGGGCAAUGGACGAAAGUCUGACCCAGCGACGCCGCGUGCGGGAUGAAGGCCUUCGGGUUGUAAACCGCUUUCAGCAGGGAAGAAGCGAAAGUGACGGUACCUGCAAAAGAAGCACCGGCUAACUAUGUGCCAGCAGCCGCGGUAAUACAUAGGGUGCAAGCGUUGUCCGGAAUUAUUGGGCGUAAAGAGCUCGUAGGUGGUUAGUUACGUCGGGUGUGAAACUCUGGGGCUCAACCCCAGACCUGCACUCGAUACGGGCUAGCUAGAGUUUGGUAGGGGAGACUGGAAUUCCUGGUGUAGCGGUGGAAUGCGCAGAUAUCAGGAGGAACACCAAUGGCGAAGGCAGGUCUCUGGGCCAAUACUGACACUGAGGAGCGAAAGCGCGGGGAGCGAACAGGAUUAGAUACCCUGGUAGUCCG
rnacentral:rRNA from 1 species